rnacentral:rRNA from 1 species
AUUGAACGCUGGCGGCAGGCCUAACACAUGCAAGUCGAGCGGAUGAGAGGAGCUUGCUUCUCGAUUCAGCGGCGGACGGGUGAGUAAUGCCUAGGAAUCUGCCUGGUAGUGGGGGACAACGUUUCGAAAGGAACGCUAAUACCGCAUACGUCCUACGGGAGAAAGCAGGGGACCUUCGGGCCUUGCGCUAUCAGAUGAGCCUAGGUCGGAUUAGCUAGUUGGUGAGGUAAUGGCUCACCAAGGCGACGAUCCGUAACUGGUCUGAGAGGAUGAUCAGUCACACUGGAACUGAGACACGGUCCAGACUCCUACGGGAGGCAGCAGUGGGGAAUAUUGGACAAUGGGCGAGAGCCUGAUCCAGCCAUGCCGCGUGUGUGAAGAAGGCCUUAUGGUUGUAAAGCACUUUCAGUAGGGAGGAAGCGUUGUGUGUUAAUAGUACACAGCGUUGACGUUACCUACAGAAGAAGCACCGGCUAACUCUGUGCCAGCAGCCGCGGUAACAC